UACGUAGGGGGCGAGCGUUGUCCGGAUUUAUUGGGCGUAAAGAGCUCGUAGGCGGUUCGGUAAGUCGGAUGUGAAAUCUCCACGCUCAACGUGGAGGGGCCACCCGAUACUGCUGUGACUCGAGUCCGGUAGGGGAGUGGGGAAUUCCUGGUGUAGCGGUGAAAUGCGCAGAUAUCAGGAGGAACACCGGUGGCGAAGGCGCCACUCUGGGCCGGUACUGACGCUGAGGAGCGAAAGCGUGGGUAGCAAACAGG
rnacentral:rRNA from 1 species